CCAGAGGAUUUCGAGGAUCUUCUGUCCUCAAGGAAUCGAUUACAGAUUUCUACUUGCAGAAAAGCUCAGCUGGACACAGCUCAAGUGAGCUGCACAUAUAUUCUCCCUCUACAACCCACUAUAAAGGAGUGGAUGCUCUCUGGAACAUUCUAACCCCACUGCAGAGGCUCAGAACAGAGUAACAAUCACUGGUGUGGACAAUGUAUCUAAGGCUUAAGCUGGUGAGUAACACCCUCAACACCUGCUUCUCAGGUCACCUCACAAACCAGGUUUCAUUACUAUGCCAUAAAAGAAACAGGAGACACCAGAUCUUGUGAAAUGUUUAAAUAACUUUAAACUUUAUUAAGUAAAAAUUGCAUAAACACAACCAUAAGGUAAUGAAUAGAAAAAUUAAAUACAAACAAUCACUUGAAAUUAGAUUAUUACAUAACUGGUGGUUUCAAUCCUAAAUACUAAAUACCCAAUUUUCCACAGUGAGAAUAUUAAUCUAAUGAGAAAAAAAUUCAAUUUUGUCUUAACAUAUGCCAAAACUCUUUAAGAAAAAAAAUUUUAAUUAA
rnacentral:lncRNA from 1 species